UACGUAGGGACCGAGCGUUGUCCGGAUUCAUUGGGCGUAAAGAGCUCGUAGGCGGCUACUCAAGUCGGACGUGAAAACUCGGAGCUCAACUCCGAGCCUGCGUUCGAUACUGGAUGGCUAGAGUCUGGUAGGGGGAUCUGGAAUUCCUGGUGUAGCGGUGGAAUGCGCAGAUAUCAGGAGGAACACCGGUGGCGAAGGCGGGAUCCUGGGCCAGUACUGACGCUGAGGCGCGAAAGCCAGGGGAGCAAACGGG
rnacentral:rRNA from 1 species